rnacentral:rRNA from 1 species
UACAGAGGUCUCAAGCGUUGUUCGGAUUUACUGGGCGUAAAGGGCGCGUAGGCGGACAGUUUAGUCAGAGGUGAAAGCCCAGGGCUCAACCUUGGAAUUGCCUUUGAUACUGGCUGUCUUGAGUACGGGAGAGGUGAGUGGAACUCCGAGUGUAGAGGUGAAAUUCGUAGAUAUUCGGAAGAACACCAGUGGCGAAGGCGACUCACUGGCCCGUUACUGACGCUGAGGCGCGAAAGCGUGGGGAGCAAACAGG